rnacentral:rRNA from 1 species
GACGAACGCUGGCGGCGUGCCUAAUACAUGCAAGUAGAACGCUGAAGGAGGAGCCUACUUCUCUGGAUGAGUUGCGAACGGGUGAGUAACGCGUAGGUAACCUGCCUGGUAGCGGGGGUAACUAUUGGAAACGAUAGCUAAUACCGCAUAAGAGCAGAUGUUGCAUGACAUUUACUUAAAAGGUGCAAUUGCACCACUACCAGAUGGACCUGCGUUGUAUUAGCUAGUUGGUGGGGUAAUGGCUUACCAAGGCGACGAUACAUAGCCGACCUGGGAGGGUGAUCGGCCACACUGGGACUGAGAAACGGCCCAGACUCCUACGGGAGGCAGCAGUAGGGAAUCUUCGGCAAUGGACGGAAGUCUGACCGAGCAACGCCGCGUGAGUGAAGAAGGUCUUCGGAUCGUAAAGCUCUGUUGUAAGAGAAGAACGAGUGUGAGAGUGGAAAGGUCACACUGUGACGGUAUCUUACCAGAAAGGGACGGCUAACUACGUGCCAGCCGCCGCAGUAA